rnacentral:rRNA from 1 species
AACGAACGCUGGCGGCGUGCCUAACACAUGCAAGUCGAGCGCGAAAGGAGCAAUCCGAGUAGAGCGGCGCACGGGUGCGUAACACGUGGGUAAUCUGCCUCAGGGUUGAGGAUAACCCUCCGAAAGGUUGGCUAAUACUCGGUAAGCGUACGGUGACUUCGGUCGCUGUGAGAAAACUAGACCUCUAUUUAUAAGUUUAGGCCCAGAGAUGAGCCCGCGGCCCAUCAGCUAGUUGGCGGGGUAACGGCCCACCAAGGCAACGACGGGUAGCUGGUCUGAGAGGACGAUCAGCCACACUGGAACUGAGACACGGUCCAGACUCCUACGGGAGGCAGCAGUGGGGAAUUUUCCACAAUGGGCGAAAGCCUGAUGGAGCAACGCCGCGUGUGUGAUGAAGGUCUUCGGAUCGUAAAGCACUUUCGACCGGGACGAAAAACCUUUGGCUAACAUCCAGGGGCCUGACGGUACCGGGAGAAGAAGCACCGGCUAACUCUGUGCCAGCCGCCGCGGUAACAC